UGUGGCUGCUAUAACAAUUCAAGCUUAUGUGCGAGGAUUUCUAGCAAGGAAGAAAUUCCGAAAGAUGCUCAAGGAACACAAGGCUGUAAUCCUUCAAAAAUAUGCCCGUGCUUGGCUUGCAAGACGCAGAUUUCAGAAUAUUCGGCGAUUUGUGUUGAAUAUCCAGCUUUCGUACAGAGUUCAGCGACUGCAGAAGAAACUAGAAGACCAG